GGCCUACGGGACGCAGCAGUGGGGAAUAUUGCACAAUGGGGGAAACCCUGAUGCAGCAACGCCGCGUGAGUGAAGAAGGUUUUCGGAUUGUAAAGCUCUGUUAGCAGGGAAGAGGAAGGACGGUACCUGCAGAGGAAGCCACGGCUAACUACGUGCCAGCAGCCGCGGUAAUACGUAGGUGGCAAGCGUUGUUCGGAAUAACUGGGUGUAAAGGGAGCGCAGGCGGGAAGCCAAGUCAGCUGUGAAAACUACGGGCUUAACUUGUAGACUGCAGUUGAAACUGGUUUUCUUGAGUGAAGUAGGGG
rnacentral:rRNA from 1 species